rnacentral:rRNA from 1 species
GACAGAGGGUGCAAACGUUGUUCGGAAUUACUGGGCGUAAAGCGCGUGUAGGCUGCUCUGCAAGUCGGGUGUGAAAGCCCCGGGCUCAACCUGGGAAGUGCACUCGAAACUGCAGAGCUCGAGUCCUGGAGAGGAAGGCGGAAUUCUCGGUGUAGAGGUGAAAUUCGUAGAUAUCGAGAGGAACACCGGUGGCGAAGGCGGCCUUCUGGACAGUGACUGACGCUGAGACGCGAAAAGCGUGGGGAGCAAACAGGG